AUGACCUCCUCUGCGCCGCUGCCUUCUUCCAGCCGCGGCGUUGCCUCACCUGCUAAAGGAGCGAGUCGAUCUGACGAGGCGUUUGAGCGCUUUCUCAGGCUGCUGAACAAAAACGCAGAAGUCAACCCUAAUGAGAUGGCCUCCGAUGUGGCCCCACCCCUUCCCAGCUUGCUCCACACGUCACCUGCAGACGAGGACAUCAGCGAGCGGCGCGACCUCCACGCCGUCAGGAACCUGAACAACGCAGCGGAUUCAAGCGUGCUGUAUGAAAAGAUUCCUGUUCCCAGACAAAGUUCUUCUUCGUCCACAAACGAGGAGAGCAAAGUGGAGAAAGGUUUUGAGCGCUUUCUCAGCGUGCUGAACAAAGGAGUGGACAUCAACCUCCUCAGUAAGAUAGUUAUGGAUAGUAAGGAGGUAGUUCCCGCCCUUCUCCCCUCUGUGGAGCGGAACAAGAGUGAGGAGCCUCUCAGGAGGGGGAGCUCCUGUUCCAACAGCGGAGCUCCUCUGCCGGGCCGCAUCCGGACCAGCAGUGCCGAGUCAAGGACCGACCGUCCAGAGCGGUCGCUACCCGAAACCGCACAAGACGAGAGGCUCUGCAGCGUGAACUCCGACAACCGCGCGGCGUCUCCUCUGGAAAGGAGGAAGUUGGAGGAUGAAGAACUGCCACGCUCAGAGGAAGCCUUGAAGCAGCUGCAGGACAUUUGUAGAACUCUGAAGCUAAACAUGGCAGCAGAGAAGAUGAGCAAAGAACCGGAUCGCACGCAAGGAGGGAAGACGGGGAGCAGGCGGGUCAGCGGGGAGCACAGCGGCUCCUCCUCCUCCCCCCCCAGAAGUCGCAGCCGCUCGCCACAUCGCCACAGGAAAGAUCAAAAGUUGAAACAUGGCGGCUCUCACGAACGAAACAGAAUGAGUGUAAUGCAGCCAGAAGAAGAAGAUGCAGAAGGUCCGGUGGGCAGCGACAGAAACCGACAGGAAGCAUCUCCUUACCUUCACGUGUCUACUGCUGCUGCUGCUGCUGCUGCUGCUGCUGCAUUCCCACAUAGUUUGUACCAAGACCCCCGUUUCCCCAGUGACCUCGCCAACGCCAGCAGAGAUGUGGCGUACCCUUACUGCUCGUUUCCUCAGAGCUACAGCACGCUGCUCGCCCUUCCCCCCGACGUGCAUUCCUGCCAACCAGCAGAAUUUCACCGCCCCGCGUGGACCGACCCUCAGUGUGGAUUGGAAAGCGCGACCCCGCUUUGGGGUCUCGACCUUUCCGCAUCUGAAGGUCAGACCGGAUUGUCUCCUUGCGACGCCAACAGCAGGUCUCGAUUCCUAACAGUCGUCGACACGCAGGCUUCUUUGAACACAAAGUCCUCCCACGGGUCAAAGCCAAAAAAAAAGUAUCGACCAUGGAAGAAAAAUAAAAAACCAGACAGAAAAAGAAUUCGUAAAAAGAAGGACAAGGGAGACAAGCCUGAAUCGAAGCCACUUUCUUCAUCGAGCAAGACGACCAAGGCCAAGACAUCGCAGCAGCCUGCAGCGCCGCAAGCUUCCGUGGCGCCAAAGCCGUCCGUGGCGCCUAAGGCAUCGUCAACGGUGACCUCCCCGGCAGGAACUUCCCAGGCGGGCCGGGGCGCUCCGACUAAGCCGUCGGAUGAGCGGAAACCACAGCUGCUGACAGAGGAGGAGAUAAAGGCAAACCUGAGGAAAAAGCUUCAAGCGUUUAAUGAGAAAGCAAAGCUUGCUAAGCAGAUCUACCGGCCCUCACAGCCAGACGACUCGCUGUCCCUGGAGCUGAGCUAAC
rnacentral:lncRNA from 1 species